rnacentral:lncRNA from 1 species
AGAUGAUGGGUUGAUGGGUGCAGAAAACCAUCAUGGCACGUGUAUACCUAUGUAAUACGUUCUGCAAACAUAUCUGCACGUUCUGCACAUGUAUCCCAGGCUCAAGCCUGUAAUCCCAGCACUUUGGGAGGCCGAGGCAGGUGGAUCACGAGGUCAGGAGAGGAAAACCAUCCUGGCUAACACGGUGAAACCCCGUCUCUAUUAAAAAUACAAAAAAAUUAUCCAGGCGUGGUGGCGGGUGCCUAUAGUCCCAGCUACUCAGGAGGCUGAGGCAGGAGAAUGGCGUGAACCCGGGAGGAGGAGCUUGCAGUGAGCCAAGAUCAUGCCACUGCACUCCAGCCUGGGCGACGGGGCAAGACUGUCUCAAAAAAAAAAAAAGUAUAAUUUAAUAAAACGAAAAAAAUGAAACUCUAUCAGUGGCAACAGCUAUAGACUGAAUUAACCACCUAAGACCAUUUCUUCUUCCCUCCUUCUUUCCUUCUUCCCCAGACUAACUCCACCCCCAAUACCAGCCUCUCUGCAAUGACCCCCUGCCCACACAAUGAGACCUCCCACACAAGCAGCAGGGCUGUGCUUGGAUGAGAAAUCUCUCAUUUGAGUGACUUAAGGAAAUGUCUCUUACUCUUCCAGGGCAGGUCCUUCAAAGUUGCCACUUAGUUCAACUGAAGCCAGAGAGGUGGCCAGAAGAUGAGAUGCCAGCACUCUCCCUACAAAGUAUCCUGGGUCCCGUGGCCUCUCAGUUUGGGGACAUAAAACAAGGUGCUCUCCCUAGUGGUCACCUCUACUCAUGUGGCUUCAGUGACCCUGCGUGUGUCAGCGACUCACGAUCAAACACUGUCAUCCUUCUGAGCCCCAAAUACAUUUACACAAUUGCCCACCGAACCUCUUCAGCCUCAAGCUCAGCACUAACACCCCAUCUUCCCCACCCCCGUGACAGUCCUGGGUCCUUCUUUCUUCACCUACCAUAUCCCAUGGUCACCACAUCCAGUCAUUUUCCUGUGAAACGGCACUUGGCUCCAUCCACAGCUCACCUCCUCCCCGCCACUGCACUGGCUCAGACCACUUCACUGCCACAACUGCUUCCUCCCAUCCACUCUGGAUUGCAGCCGAAAUUCUCAGCCACCUGAUCCUGUUACCACCAGGCUCGAAACUUUACAGCUUCCCAAGUUGUCCUGGAUCUGUCAUGGGAUGUCCCCUCAUGAUCUAGCUCUGCUCCCUCGUGAAUGAGUCACCCUGUCACUUCAGUCCUGGCGUGCUGUGAUCCAUGCACUCAACAACUUUAAGCCCAGAGUGUGCUUUUUAUUUCUUUAUCCAAAUCUUUGAAGACUGUUCCCUCUGUCUGGAAUCCUCUUACUCACAAAUGUUGAUCCUCCCUUCACCCCAAGGGUUGAUCCAACCCUCACAAUGGUUGGCUGACUCCUGCUGACUCUGAUUUCAGCUGAGAUGCCUCUUUCUUAUGUGUCCCUCAUCACUCUGCUCCUACCCUUUUCACAGCAUCACACUGUCCCCCACUGGACUGUAAACUCCUUAAGGACAGAAAUAGCAUCUUUUUUUUUUUUUUUUUUUUUUUGAGAUGUAGUCUCGCUCUGCUGCCAGGCUGGAGUGCAGUGGUGCGAUCUCUGCUCACUGCAACCUCGGCCUCCCAGGUUGAAGCGAUCCUCCUGCCUCAGUCUCCCAAAUAGCUGGGACUACAGAUGUGCACCACCACGCCCAGCUAAUUUAUGUAUUUUUAGUAGGGAUGGCGUUUCACCAUGUUGGCCAGAAUGGCCUCCAUCUCUUGACCUCGUGAUUAACCCACCUUGGCCUCCAAAGUGCCGGGAUUACAGGCCUGAGCCACCGCGCCAGGCUAGAAACAACAUCUUGCUUACCAUUGAGUCCUUAGUGCCAGGCACAAGAUCUGGCACACAGCAGGUGCUCAAAACAUUUUUGUUGAGUGAGUGAAUGAGUGAACAAAUGAACUAGCAACUUGCCCCAAGAUUCUCAGCUUGUAGAUGAUGGAGCUGCAGUUGAAACCCAGUCCUGUUAGUCUCAAAGCCUGUGGCCUUUCCUUUGCACUCUGAUGACACAAGCAUCAUCAUGUGGCUUAUUUAAAGCAAGGCUGGAUGACCUCUGGAACUAAUACAGUAUCUUGGGAAUAACUGCAGUGAACUCUUGAGGGUGUUUUGAAUCUGACAUUUUGAAAUCAACUUUGAGUACUCAUCCCGCCACUUACUAUUCUGGUCUAGAAGACAGACCUCUUCCUGCUCUUUUAUCUGCAAAUUGCCUUAGGUCUUCAAGUUACCUCUUUCUUUCCCCUAAGUACAACACCUCAACUAUUGUGCAGUUUGUUUCCUGGUGCAGUCCUAGUAAUAUGCCCUGAAGAGCUAGAAAGAGACUGAACCAUUACUGUACUUUCUCAUUAAAGGAAAUUACUUGUAUUUCUGCUCUAAGGUUGCGCCAACUCAUUGUUCAUGCAAUGUGACCAACUAUAUGACAAAAUUCAAUCAGUCUAGAAAAUUUCCACAGAAGCCAAAGAAGAGCCUCCCACUCAGCAGCAAUCACUGUAAACACAAAUCACAAUAUUUGCACUUACAUGAGCCAUGGAUGGAUUACAUUAUCUACCUCUGCUUCAUUUAGAUGAUCAACGGCAUGCAGCUGGGGAAUACAGAGACACAGAAAAAGCCCUGAAAACCCUCAGAAGUGGGAUGGAUUAAUCUUUUCCUGAAGAAUCAUUGGCUCCAAUGAAGCAGGGAAUGAACACAAUGCACCAGAGCUACCCAGGGGGCCCUGGGCACCUCAGCAAGGCCUUCUCCUGGCCUAGGACCUUGGAGUGGGAUCACAUGAGAUUCCAAGAGAUUCUCACCAUGGCCCCCUCAAAGGGAGCCUCUCAUUUGUCUUUUGAAUGCUCAGCUAUUCAACUAAAAGUAUAUUAAAAAUGCCCGCUUUGGAUCUGAUUCAAAAUAAUCUAGCCAGAUGGGAGAGUUGUAGAUGAAACAGAUUGGCCAUAAGUUAAUCAUUAUUGAAUCUGAGUGAUGGCUGCAUGUGGGGAGCCAUUAUUAUAUUCUCUGUUCUUUUGCAUAUUUUUGAAAUUUCCCAUAAAUAAAAGUUUUAAAAGGUUGCAUAUGAAUAUAAUCUGGUAUAAUUUUUCUGGGGAAUAAUUUAGUAUUAUAUAUUCAAAAGUCUUUAAAAUGUGCAAAUCCUGUGACUCAGAACUUCUACUUCUAGGAAUUUACUCUUAGGAAAUAAUCAUGAAUGGGUGAAAAGAUUUAUCUACAGGGAUGUUAAUGACAGUCUUGUUUAUAAUAGGGGAAGAAAAGAAAAGUGUUCAAUAAUGAGGACUGGUCAAAUAAAUGUUGGCAUCUAUUAUGAUAGACCAUUAUGGAGCCAUUAAAAUAAUCUUGGGUCUGGUGAUGGUGAAGAGAAAUGUCAUUUCACACACUAUUGAUGGGAAUAAAUUUAAUAACUGCUUUGCAAAGUGAGUUGGUAUUAUCGAUCCUUGUUUAAAAUGCUUACUUUGGCCCAGCAAUUACAUUAUUAAGAAUUUUUCCCAUUGACAGACAAAAAUGUAUAUACUGGGAUAACUGCAGCAUUCUUUAUAGUAGGAAAAAAUGAAAACAAUAUAAAUGUUCAACAAAUAAAGAUAAGUUGAAUAAAUUGUGGUUAACCAUACAAUGGAAUACUCGAAGGCAUUGUUUGUAUGUUAUAAUAAUUAUACCUAACAUUCUUGAAAGAUGUUCUAGGCAUUGUUCUAAGUAUUUUAUACAUGCUAAUUUAUUUAAUAUACUGGUAUGAAAAUGUAUCAGUUAGCCAUUACUGUAUAACACACUGCUCUAAAAAUCAGUGGCUUACAGCAAUAAACUUUUUUUAUUGCUUGAUUGACCUUCCUCCUGACUCUCUAAGCAGCUGUGGGUUGGGUAGGCAGCUCAGCUGAUCUUGGGUAGGUUUUCUUAUGUGUUUGGUGGUCAUCUGGGGUAGGCUAGUUUAGAAUUUUUUUUGGCUGUGACACUUGGCUUCCAUAAAGACUUUCAUAUCCUAACAAACUAGCCUAGGCUUAUUCACUUGGCAGUGGUAGAAUUCCAAAAGAGAGUAGAAGCAUGCAAAACUUCUUGAUGCUUAGAGUCCAAACUGGCACACCAUCACUCUUGCUGCAUUCUGUUGGCCAAAGCAAACCCAGAUUCAAGGGAUAGCGGAAUAUUCUCCCUCUCUUGUUGAAAAGAGCUUCAAAGUGAUGUUUCAAGGAGUAUGAAAACAGGGAGGGGGAUAUAAAAAAAUUUUUGUAAUAAAUAUUCUACAUAUCUAAAAUGAACA